CGAGGAGCCGCCGCAGCAUCCCCCCCCGGGGGUAGGCUGCCGGUCUCGUGCGGCGUCGGCGUCGGUGAGGAAUGC
rnacentral:misc_RNA from 1 species